rnacentral:lncRNA from 1 species
CUCCUUCAGUUGUCUGCAAUAAUGGUGCACUAUUUUUUCUUUCCUAGACUUAGAAGACAACUCUAAACCUGCUUCCACCCUCAGUGAUCCCUCUGCAAGUGACUCUGAGUGUCAGAAUGAACCUACUUCAAUUGCUGUAGUCCCUCCUGAAGUAAACUUGUUUCAUACCAACCAGUCUUAUCCAAAUACCAUGUCCUCAAACUUACAUGAGUCCCACAAUACUUUAUCAGUCAAAGCCAAGAGUUCUUCUUUUUCUUCUAUUCCGUCACAGCAGCCAAACCCACGCCAGCCCAGUGCAAAAUCAGUCACUGAAGAGACACCUGGCAGUUCACAAGUGCCCAUAUUCCAACCUUCAACUGCUCUGGAUGAACUGAAGCAACAGGUGGCCCAGAUUAUGGCCAAGUAUCCAAGGGGCAUAUCUCUAUUCCAGUUCCGGAUUGUCUAUAGUGCUACCUUUAAACAACAUUUUCCAGUGGGGAAUGCCUCUUCUACCAAACAACGUCUUCUCGAGAUGCCGGACACUGUUUAUAUGAAGGGUCAUGGAGUUCAGACGUUACUGUUGCCCGUAUCCCCUGACGUGUCACUUGCAAAACCAGGUCAGCCUGCCUCUUCCAAAGUUGAGAAUGUUGCAGUGGUAUGUAAUCUUUCAUUGGUCAAUCCUGAACCUGUGACUAAACCUGCUGUAAAAACCUUUGAUUCCCAUCCCGUUUCGACAUCACCUUUAAUCCCUCCUGAAAAGCCAGGAAGCAAGGAUUGCUGCAGCUCUAAGGACCUAUCCCUAAAUAUGCUUCUGGCCCCAUGCCAAGAACAAAAGAAGGCCAGAACAAGCUUGCCAGGCUUUUCGGAUCAGCUUGAUUUGUCAAAAGUAGAAGACAUUCCAGUGCUUCCUGGUCGUUCCUUGCCUAAGGAUGAAUCGUUGAUCAUUCCACAGUCUUUCCUGAUGCCUGUUGUUCCCAGGGCUGCCAUGAUGCCUGUACCUAAGUCCCCUCAUUCCUUCUUGCAAUAUUAUCAGUCCGUCAGAGUUGUAGAAAAUAAGGGGAAUAAGCCAUUCACUGAACUUCACACCCAGAGUACCCCAGGUUCCAUUAAAGUGAUGGAAAUGAACAAAUCUUGUUUGAAUGGUCCCGAUCCCAAGCUAGGAGAGAUCUCCUUCAUUCCACGUUGCUUUGCAGCUUUACCUGCAUAUUUUCAAGGCACAGAAUGUAGUGAGAAUUUGCAGCCAGGUAUUCUUAAACCCAGAUUUGCAACUCCCACUAAGUCAAAGAUUUCUGACACUGUUCCAUCAGUUGACUCAACACCAGUUCCCUCAGUUUUAGUAAAACCUGAAAUUCACCCUCCAGGAGGUGCAUCACAGAGCUCCAAUAGUAUUCAGCCUAUGCUUUCAGUACAACCACCACCUCCCAUCCUAAGUACAGCACAAAGGAAUUAUAAUCAUGCUAUUUCAGAAUUUGAUUCCUUCUCUGAAGCACAAAAACAAUCCAGAGCUUUGCAGCAUUUCUCGAGUCCUGACUCUUCUGCAAAGAGGAGUUCUGCUUCUUCAUUGCCUAGAAAUUCCGCAAGCUGCUUUCCUUCCAGAUCCCAACUAAACCACCAAUUACAACAGCCUGCCCAUGCAAGACUAGAUGAUCUGCAAUCCACUUCUGUUUCUUUAGCAGAUAAGAACCUCAGAAAAGCCUCUUUGGACAGCGUAUCUCCUGUAGCAGUGUAUCCAAGAAAACCCACUUAUGUGAAUCCUCUUGAAACCAGUUCAACCACAGAAUCAUCCAUUGCCUGUUCAGUCAGUGGAUCCUUGCACACUUCAUCUGUGAUCAAUAAUUCCAGGGCUUCGUCAUCUGUAUCCUCAAGGACAACAGCAGUAAGUCCAGCUUCUUGUCUGUUAGACUCUACUGCCAACUCAUAUGAUCAAAUUGCCUAUGCUUCUGCUAAGAUCACCAGUAAUUCCACUCCUUUGUUUUCUGAGACUCAAGCUUCCACUCAGCAGAGACAAUCUUCCAGGGCAGCUAGUACUGUAAUCUCAAACACAAAAACAACAAGCCCCACUUCCUGGUCACCAGAAUCCAACAUCUGUUCACACCAUCAGUUUGCAUAUGCUUCCAGCAGGAUCACCACUAAUUCCAGUAACCUAUCUUCUGAGACUUAUGCUUUCACAUAUCAGGGACCGAGCACACAAGCAAGCGAGACUAUAAUUUCCUCGAGUACAAAAACGGCGAGCUCCAUUUCUUCUCCUCUAGAUUCUACCACUAGCAUACCUUGCCAGCAUGCCUAUGCUUCUGCCAAGGCCACCAGUACUUCUAGUAUUUUGUCAAAGUCCAGUGCCUAUCAAACUCCAAAUACUGAUUUCAAGGCUAGUUUAAGUCAUCCUCCUCCUACUCAGAAUAAUCUCACAUCCUCACUUUCUAAACAGGGGGACCAGUCUGCCUCUUUGCAAGAAGAGCAGGUUACUCACGUCUCCAGAAUCUAUGAUGGAUGUCUCAUCCUAUAAUAGGCUAUCCUUCAAAUGGUCCAUGUGAAGACAUUUGCAUAUGGACACUUUUUUUUCCAGGAAGAGAGAUGAAGAAUAGCCUCUUCAAUGUGCUGCCUAAGGGCAUUUAGAGAUCAUCCUUGUCUAAGUUAACCUAUUUACCUAAAAACUUUAAAAUUAUGAGAAUUCUCUGAAUGUUAAAAAUAUUGUUAAUUAAAUUGUUUCAGCCAUAAAAAGAAUUAUCACCAAAUUACAUAUAGUAAGAUAGCUACCUCAAAUGACACAUAGCUUGAAGCUGCAGUACACUUAUAGCCAUUGCAGUGCCCUCUAGCUGAUUUUCUGGUUUUUUAUGUGAUGGAAGACACCAUCAACAGCAUUCAGCCAAGGUCAGCUGAUUAACUCAUUUUCUGAAUGAGGAGCAGAGGCUACGAUUCCCCCCCCCCCCCGCCUAAGGCGGGCAUAUGCCCUGGGUCGUCUUGCCCAGAAAUAUCACUGUGAGAUCUUCCUUUUAGUUGUACUGAGCUCUUUUUAAAAAAAAGACAGGGUAGAAUUGUAAUUGUCCAGGGUGGUCAGAUUCUGUGUUGGAAGCAGCUUGGUUUACUGUUGUGCAAGCAUGUAAUUAUGUAUAAUUACUUUAUACUGUUAUUCUGUUCUGAAAUCAUGGGCACAAACUGAUUCCUGAACCUUUGCCUUCUCUCUCAAUUUUUAUGAAAUGUUUGUAUUCAACACAUUUGAAACAUUAAUUCUGAACUAGUUGAUCCAACAACUUUUUUAAGUAGAUUUGCAAGAUAUUGAAUGUGUUGUCUUCCGUAUCUCCUAAUAUUUGUAAGCAGAAUGGUUGAAAAUUGUGCUUUCUGUAUCUUCCUCUGGAAGUUCUGCUGAAUUGUCUCAUGUUGUGUUUUGGUAGAAAUACAAACUUGGACUGUUAUGAUUCUGAGUUACGACUAAAGCAAAAGGUAUGCUAGAGUUCCUUUAAGAACAAAUGCACCUAGGUUGCAAUGUGUUGCUUUCUGCCCUCUUGCUUCUCCACAUAGGCUGGGUGUUUGACUGUCUUUUUUUUACUCCUUCAGUUCUCAAUGAUGUCCCAGUGCUGCAUAUGCCACUGGCUGAUCUGUCCUUCAAUCUUCCCAGUACUCUCCCAAUAGCCACCUCCCCUUUUUUCUCAUAGCCUUCUCUUUCUCUCUCUUCUUUCAAUGAGAGCAGAUUUACUUUAAAUUCUUUCUCUAAACCUAUUUCUGGCUUACUCCCAACCUUCUCCAGUUUGCAACUGCCUUUUUGUCCAUGUGCCUAUGGAGAAAGUAGUUAAUCUCUUAAGGAUAGUUACUAUUGAAGGACAAGAAUUCAGGAGAAUCCAUCUAAGCAACACUUAAUUCAAGGAACAUGCAAAUUUUUUAGCAGACAAAUAUUCCAUUUCCAGUUUAAUUUCUGUUUAGAAAAUUAAUACUUUAUGUAUUUUUUCAUUGUGUGGAUCUUUUGGCUUAUAUUUUUGUGUCAAAAUAAAAUAAUUAGAGAAA